UGGGCCCAAAACGGUGCGUAUAAUCCUCUAGGGUUUUAUGAAGCCACCCCCUGCCGUUCCCCUUCUCUCUCUCUCUUAUAUAUUGGAGGGUUUACGGGCAGUGUGGAGGUAGAACAACCUCUAACAGAGUAUAUAGAUCUGAGCAGAUGAUGAGCUGAUUCAACUGUAAAUUGCUGAUUGGCGAUUCCAUGAAGCUAUUACAAAUCGAGCUUUUUAAAACUGAUGCUCAGAUCUCGCGAUACUUUUGCAGGCCUCAGAUGUUUAUAUUUGAGUCGUUUCUGUGUAAGUACUCUGAACUUUAAACAAGUCUCAGUAGGACCUCCACGUCGUCAUUUCUGAAUCUGUUAGUCUGUCGAUCCUCCCUCAGUUUUCUGAUACUUGAUGUAACUUGUAAAUAAGAGAAACGAGGGAAGAAGAAAGAGAGAAUGAAAGAAGCGAAUAGAGAGAAAUUGUAGGUGCAAAUGAUGAGAGGAAGAUGAAGUUGAGAGCAUGAUAGACAGCUUUUGAUUUAUGCGAUUGGGAGAGGAAUAAGAAAUUGCAGACACCAAAGUAGGGUUGGGUUCGUUUGAUUUUGUUUUUAAAACUAAUAAUGUUGGAAAUUUAAUUUUCGAAAUAAAACAGGACAACAUUAAUGUUAAUUAUAUUGGCGAUGGUUGAUAGCAGUUGGUUU